rnacentral:rRNA from 2 species
UGGGGAAUAUUGCGCAAUGGGGGAAACCCUGACGCAGCAACGCCGCGUGAAGGAUGAAGGUUUUCGGAUUGUAAACUUCUUUGAUGAGGGACGAUAAUGACGGUACCUCAAAAACAAGCCACGGCUAACUACGUGCCAGCAGCCGCGGUAAUACGUAGGUGGCGAGCGUUGUCCGGAAUUACUGGGUGUAAAGGGCGUGUAGGCGGGAAUGCAAGUCAGAUGUGAAAUUCCGGGGCUUAACCUCGGCGCUGCAUCUGAAACUGUGUUUCUUGAGUGCUGGAGAGGAAAGCGGAAUUCCUAGUGUAGCGGUGAAAUGCGUAGAUAUUAGGAGGAACACCAGUGGCGAAGGCGGCUUUCUGGACAGUAACUGACGCUGAGGCGCGAAAGCGUGGGGAGCAAACAGG